ACCUUUGUCCCCGAAUUUGGUUCGUCCGAGCAUUCCUGCCACGACGAUUAAAAGGGAAACAGGUGAGAAUCCUGUACAGUCCCGCUGCUGUAAGCUCUUUUUCAGUUAGCAGUUAACAAUCAUCCGUUAACAGUUGAAUUGAAAACAACGUAUUGAACAACACUUUUGCCACUGAAGACAAUCAACAGUCACCAGUUUACGGUCACAGUUUUAUUGAUAGCUGUUAACUGAACACUGCUAACUGAUUCGGGAAGGCGUUCAACUACGGGAGCAAGUCAGAAGACCUGCCAAACAAUAGUCAAUUUU
rnacentral:ncRNA from 2 species